rnacentral:rRNA from 1 species
AUUGAACGCUGGCGGCAGGCCUAACACAUGCAAGUCGAACGAGUGGCGGACGGGUGAGUAAUGUCUGGGAAACUGCCUGAUGGAGGGGGAUAACUACUGGAAACGGUAGCUAAUACCGCAUACUAUUCGAUGUGCCCAGGUGGGAUUAGCUGGUUGGUGGGGUAAAGGCCCACCAAGGCGACGAUCCCUAGCUGGUCUGUGAGGAUGACCAGCCACACUGGGACUGAGACACGGCCCAGACUCCUACGGGAGGCAGCAGUGGGGAAUAUUGAACAAUGGGCGCAAGCCUGAUGCAGCCAUGCCGCGUGUAUGAAGAAGGCCUUCGGGUUGUAAAGGACUUUCAGCAGGGAAGCGUUACCCGCAGAAGAAGCACCGGCUAACUCCGUGCCAGCAGCCGCGGUAAUAC